CUCGCCCAGCAGCUCUCUCUCCUCCCGUGGGCGCCCUGCAGAGAGGAACGAGUUACAGAGGGUAGAAAACUGCAGACAGCCGGUGAAGAACCGCGGGGCCCAGUCACUGGGACAAAUGUCCCAGGAGCAGGAAAUGCAGGGCGUUGGGGUGCGUGGAGACCAGCUGGAUCACGAGCUCUGUGUGGCUCUGGUGAUGGGGGUCGGUUUGGCUUUAGGGUGGUGAGUCCAGUUGAUUUCCCUGAUUUCCUCCUCUGCUCUGCCCUGACAUCCUCUCAGCCAGCUGGAGAGCCUCUUCCUUUCUCAUCCUUGCUCUUGGGGGGUCAUUUGCAGCUCUUUGGAAUUCAGAACAGCUCUCCCCCCUACCCUCCUCCCCCACACUUGUAGGAAAAUUUCUGUCUCUCUCUGGCACUGGUGUGGCGAGUGCACCGUUCUCUGCCUCAGCCGUCUGGCUUUCAACAGCAAACCUUCCAGUUUCCCAGUUGUCCCCCCCACAUCUCUCAUCCUCUCCUGACUCUAUCUCACACCCUCCUGCGGCUCAGGCAGCAAAUUCCUGCCCCUUUCCAGUCUCUGCCUGUGGGCCUUUGAAUCUAGCACUUCCCCCUCCCUGUCUGUGCCGACAGAGAUUGAUCACGGUCAUUGCUCAGCCCACACCACCAUCACAUGCCCGUGCUACAAUGCAAUUCAAAAAGGGCUAUUCUGACAAAGGGCCAUUUGGCUGGCAAUUUCCUCCCUCCCUCCCUGCUGCAUCCUGCCAACGGGCACAUCAAAGCAGAUGACCCCACAGCCUUCAGGAACAGAGGGAAACCAACGGGCAUGGAGAGGAAAGAAUAGAAAGGAAGGGCCGCCGAGACCCAAGUGGGACAUCAAAGCUAAUGAAGUCGGAGCGGGCCUGCGUCACCUCCCACAGCGAUGAGAAGCUCAGAGAACCUGGAAGAGACAUAACCCGGCUCUUGCAGUGACAGAUUUCUUAGCGUGGUGCUCUGUGAGUGCACAGGGAGCAGGGGCAGAAGAGGCUAAGGAAUCGCGUCCCCGUUUCGCUCCAGAGCAUCCCGUCUUACAGAGACAGGGCUGGGAAUGGCUGGGAUGGAGCCAGCUCAGGUGCUGGUGACCUUCGAGGAGGUGGCUGUGUAUUUCACCCAGGGGCAGGGGGCUCUGCUGGGCCCCGCUCAGAGAGCCCUCUACAGGGAUGUCAUGCGGGAGAACUAUGAGAUGGUGACCUCGCUGGGUAAGAGCUGCUCAGGAUUCCCUGUUCCAAAGCCUGACCUGGUCACCCGGCUGGAACGAGGGGAAGAGCUGUGGGUCCCGGAUUGCCAAGCUAGUGAGGAAGGAGGCAUCUGCAGAGGUGA